rnacentral:rRNA from 1 species
UACGUAGGGAGCAAGCGUUGUCCGGAAUCAUUGGGCGUAAAGCGCGCGUAGGUGGCCCCAUAAGUCCGCUGUGAAAGUCAAAGGCUCAACCUUUGAAAGCCGGUGGAUACUGUGGGACUAGAGUACGGAAGAGGCGAGUGGAAUUCCUGGUGUAGCGGUGGAAUGCGCAGAUAUCAGGAGGAACACCAAUGGCGAAGGCAGCUCGCUGGGACGUGACUGACGCUGAGACGCGAAAGCGUGGGGAGCAAACAGG